rnacentral:misc_RNA from 1 species
GGACAAUGUUCAGCUUCUAACAACUGUUGAUGCUGAUGGAGGGCUCCCAGCAAGUCCUCGCAUCCGCUUUAACAAGGAUGGCACCCUUUUAGCUGUUUCUGGCAAUGAGAAUGGAAUUAAAAUCUUGGCCAACGUGGAUGGAAUCCGACUACUAAGAACAUUUGAAAAUCUUUCAUAUGAUGCAGCUAGAACGUCAGAGGCUGGGACAAAGCCCACAAUAAAUCCAAUUUCAGCUGCUGCGGCCGUGGCAGCAGCAGCGGCAGCUAGUAGUGCUGCCGAUAGAGGUGCCUCUGUC